GGAGGCGACUGGACGCCUGGUGGGUCUCACGGUCUUCAAAACCGAUGGGGGAUCGCAAGGUCCCCGGCGGGUUCGAUUCCCGUCCGCCUCCG
rnacentral:tRNA from 1 species